rnacentral:rRNA from 1 species
UGCAUAUACUGCGAGUCGAGCGAAUGGAUUAAGAGCUUGCUCUUAUGAAGUUAGCGGCGGACGGGUGAGUAACACGUGGGUAACCUGCCCAUAAGACUGGGAUAACUCCGGGAAACCGGGGCUAAUACCGGAUAAUAUUUUGAACUGCAUGGUUCGAAAUUGAAAGGCGGCUUCGGCUGUCACUUAUGGAUGGACCCGCGUCGCAUUAGCUAGUUGGUGAGGUAACGGCUCACCAAGGCAACGAUGCGUAGCCGACCUGAGAGGGUGAUCGGCCACACUGGGACUGAGACACGGCCCAGACUCCUACGGGAGGCAGCAGUAGGGAAUCUUCCGCAAUGGACGAAAGUCUGACGGAGCAACGCCGCGUGAGUGAUGAAGGCUUUCGGGUCGUAAAACUCUGUUGUUAGGGAAGAACAAGUGCUAGUUGAAUAAGCUGGCACCUUGACGGUACCUAACCAGAAAGCCACGGCUAACUACGUGCCAGCAGCCGCGGUAAUACGUAGGUGGCAAGCGUUAUCCGGAAUUAUUGGGCGUAAAGCGCGCGCAGGUGGUUUCUUAAGUCUGAUGUGAAAGCCCACGGCUCAACCGUGGAGGGUCAUUGGAAACUGGGAGACUUGAGUGCAGAAGAGGAAAGUGGAAUUCCAUGUGUAGCGGUGAAAUGCGUAGAGAUAUGGAGGAACACCAGUGGCGAAGGCGACUUUCUGGUCUGUAACUGACACUGAGGCGCGAAAGCGUGGGGGAGCAAACAGGAUUAGAUACCCUGGUAGUCCACGCCGUAAACGAUGAGUGCUAAGUGUUAGAGUGUUCUCCGCCCUUUAGUGCUGAAGUAACGCAUAAGCACUCCGCCUGGGGAGUACGGCCGCUAGGCUGAAACUCAAAGAAAUUGACGGGGGCCCGCUACAGCGUGAGCAUGUUGUUUUAUUCGAAGCAACGCGAAAACCUACAGGUCUGACAUCUCUGACACCCUAGAGAUAGGACUCUC